rnacentral:lncRNA from 1 species
AUUCACUGCAUUCUCUCCAGCUCCAGGCACAGCGCUGGCACACAAGAAUAUCAAUGAAUAUUUGUUGAAUGAAUAGAAUGCCAGAGGCAUGAAGAAUAGGGCCGGGGAAGAUGGUAGCAUCUCCUGCAACCUCAGGCUUCGAACUUCCCUCUGUGAAGUACUGGGUUGGCAACACAUGCAAAUCAUUUUUGCCUGGAGAUCUUCUGAGAAGAAAGGGAAGCUCAGAGGCAUUGAUCUUGCCCCGAGUUCCGGGAAGCUGCAUUUUUCUUCGCUGCUGCUUUCAAGUGACCCGGAUCUCUUCACAGUUAUUGAGAUGGGGCAUGAUUCUGAGGAGGCACAUGAGAAGUGGGAACCUGGCUUACUUAUUGCCUUUGAGGGUCGGUGGGAGAGAACUUAUCAGAAGAACCAGAUCUUAUCUCCUCAGGACGGGGCAGGAAAAC